rnacentral:lncRNA from 1 species
UCCGCUACAGAAGUUCGAUCGGAGUCUGGUUCCUAUAGAAGUCUGGAUGGGGAUCAUUUGUUGAGGAAGCUCGGCUGAAGCCUGUCUGCAAUAGAGGUUCGGAAGGAAUUCAUUCAUAAUAGAAGCUUAGGUGGAGGCUUACAGUAGAAAUCCGACGUGGACCGCUCGUAGUAGAAAUUCGAAGUAGACCGCUUGUAGUGGUAGCUCGG